CCUCGGGUGGCAGCAGUGGGGAAUAUUGGACAAUGGGCGAAAGCCUGAUCCAGCCAUGCCGCGUGUGUGAAGAAGGCCUUCGGGUUGUAAAGCACUUUCAGUGGGGAAGAAAGCCUUGGGGCUAAUACCCUCGAGGAAGGACAUCACCCACAGAAGAAGCACCGGCUAACUCCGUGCCAGCAGCCGCGGUAAUACGGAGGGUGCGAGCGUUAAUCGGAAUUACUGGGCGUAAAGCGCGCGUAGGCGGUCUGAUAAGCCGGUUGUGAAAGCCCCGGGCUCAACCUGGGAACGGCAUCCGGAACUGUCAGGCUAGAGUGCAGGAGAGGAAGGUAGAAUUCCCGGUGUAGCGGUGAAAUGCGUAGAGAUCGAGAGGAAUACCAGUGGCGAAGGCGGCCUUCUGGACUGACACUGACGCUGAGGUGCGAAAGCGUGGGUAGCAAACAGGAUUAGAUACCCUGGUAGUC
rnacentral:rRNA from 1 species